UACGUAGGGGGCAAGCGUUGUCCGGAAUCAUUGGGCGUAAAGGGCGCGUAGGCGGCCUGCUAAGUCGGACGUGAAAUCCCUCGGCUCAACCGGGGAACUGCGUCCGAUACUGGCGAGGCUUGAAUCCGGGAGAGGGAUGUGGAAUUCCAGGUGUAGCGGUGAAAUGCGUAGAUAUCUGGAGGAAUACCGGUGGCGAAGGCGGCAUCCUGGACCAGCAUUGACGCUGAGGAGCGAAAGCCAGGGGAGCAAACGGG
rnacentral:rRNA from 1 species